AUGAUACGCGAGAAACCUUACCAGGGCUUGACAUAUACAGGAAUGUUGUAGAGAUACAGCAGCCGCUUGCGGUCUGUAUACAGGUGCUGCAUGGCUGUCGUCAGCUCGUGCUGUGAAGUGUUGGGUUAAGUCCCGCAACGAGCGCAACCCUAUCAUCUGUUGCCAGCAUUUAAGGUGGGACUCGAGAUGAGGACUGCCGGUGACAAACCGGAGGAAGGUGGGGACGACGUCAAGUCAUCAUGGCCCUUAUGUCCUGGGCUACACACGUGCUACAAUGGCCGGUACAGAGUGAAGCGAGGCCGCGAGGCGGAGCGAAUCGCUUAAAGCCGGUCCCAGUACGGAUUGGAGUCUGCAACCCGACUCCAUGAAGUUGGAAUCGCUAGUAAUCGCGCAUCAGCAUGGCGCGGUGAAUACGUUCCCGGGCCUU
rnacentral:rRNA from 1 species